AACGCACCUUGCGCUCCUUGGUAUUCCUUGGAGCAUGCCUGUUUGAGUGUCUUGAAUAUCUCUGCUCCUCAAUUUUUUGAUUAAAGUUGGUUUGGAGUCAGGUCCUUGGGCUUGCUUGCGCUUUGUUACUAAAGACAAGCUUGCCUUAAAUGUAUUAGCUGGAUUUCAGUAGAGUUGUUAAGUAACAUUGAAAACUCUCGUAAUACGGAAUCUGCUCAUAACUUUAGCCGUCUUUAUUGACGCAUAUUCAUUUUCUUUGGCCUCAAAUCAGGUAGGACUACCCGCUGAACUUAA
rnacentral:misc_RNA from 1 species